rnacentral:misc_RNA from 1 species
GAUGAAGAACGUAGCGAAAUGCGAUAAGUAAUGUGAAUUGCAGAAUUCAGUGAAUCAUCGAAUCUUUGAACGCACAUUGCGCCCGUCAGUAUUCUGGCGGGCAUGCCUGAUCGAGCGUCAUUACGCCCCUCAAGUCCCCUGUGGACUUGGUGUUGGGGAUCGGCGAGGCUGGUUUUCCAGCACAGCCGUCCCUUAAAUUAAUUGGCGGUCUCGCCGUGGCCCUCCUCUGCGCAGUAGUAAAACACUCGCAACAGGAGCCCGGCGCGGUCCACUGCCGUAAAACCCCCCAACUUUUUAUAGUUGACCUCGAAUCAGGUAGGACUACCCGCUGAACUUAAGCAUAUCAAUAAGCGGAGGA